rnacentral:rRNA from 1 species
GAUGAACGCUGGCGGCGUGCCUAAUACAUGCAAGUCGAGCGAACGGACGAGAAGCUUGCUUCUCUGAUGUUAGCGGCGGACGGGUGAGUAACACGUGGAUAACCUACCUAUAAGACUGGGAUAACUUCGGGAAACCGUAGCUAAUACCGGAUAAUAUUUUGAGCCGCAUGGUUCAAAAGUGAAAGACGGUCUUGCUGUCACUUAUAGAUGGAUCCGCGCUGCAUUAGCUAGUUGGUAAGGUAACGGCUUACCAAGGCAACGAUGCAUAGCCGACCUGAGAGGGUUAUCGGCCCCACCGGAACUGAGACACGGUCCAGACUCCUACGGGAGGCAGCAGUAGGGAAUCUUCCGCAAUGGGCGAAAGCCUGACGGAGCAACGCCGCGUGAGUGAUGAAGGUCUUCGGAUCGUAAAACUCUGUUAUUAGGGAAGAACAUAUGUGUAAGUAACUGUGCACAUCUUGACGGUACCUAAUCAGAAAGCCACGGCUAACUACGUG